CCUACGUGUGGCAGCAGUGGGGGAUAUUGCACAAUGGGGGAAACCCUGAUGCAGCGACGCCGCGUGUAGGAAGACGGUCCUCUGGAUUGUAAACUACUGUCCCCAGGGACGAAGAUGACGGUACCUGGGGAGGAAGCUCCGGCUAACUACGUGCCAGCAGCCGCGGUAAUACGUAGGGAGCGAGCGUUGUCCGGAAUUACUGGGGGUAAUGGGAGCGUAGGCGGGGAUGCAAGUUGGGUGUUAAAUCUACCGGCUCAACUGGUAGUCGCACUCAAAACUGCAGCUCUUGAGUGAAGUAGAGGCAGGCGGAAUUCCGAGUGUAGCGGUGAAAUGCGUAGAUAUUAGGAGGAACACCAGUGGCGAAGGCGGCCUGCUGGGCUUUUACUGACGCUGAGGCUUGAAAGUGUGGGGAGCAAACAGGAUUAGAUACCCGUGUAGUC
rnacentral:rRNA from 1 species